rnacentral:lncRNA from 12 species
AUGUAUAGCUUUUUCUCUCCCUUCUCUUUGCCCUCCCUUCUUCCUGCUACCAGUUGCAAGAUAGCUGGAGGUUGCUCACUAUCUGGGCUCCAUGAAGGAAAGAUGUGGGGAGAAGAGACCUUGAUCCUAACACUUGGAACUGCCAGCAAUCACUCACUUAUACAUCUCUUGCUGUUUGUGAAAGAUCUUGAAACCCUAACUUGCAUUGGGAAAAGUGCCUCAAAACUCAGUGCCACUGGAAGGUCCUUGCUAACCUGACUUCUACAUCAUAAACUGUUGGCAUCUCCAUUGCUACCUGUAUCCUACUUGUAAUAAUUGUUAUUAGCAUCGAAACAUUCUCGCUAUGAUGUUGCAGAGUUGAAUGGUUGACUUUUGGUGGAAAGCAAAAUUUUCCAUCAGCGCACACUAAAUGGCAUACACUGUACCAAACUCUCAAAUGUCUUAAAUAUCUGUGCCCUUGGGAACUUUCGCUCUAGGAAGUUACCUGAUUGAACAACACUGCCUCACCAGUUGAUGAGCUGCAAAACUUAGAAACAGAAAAAAGCUAAAGAAUGAAUUAAUUUGAAGACAAACAGACCAAGGGAAAAAUUAGCUGUGGGAUGGCUUAGCUUAGGGUUAGCUUAGGGACAGCAAAUGUGUGCCCAUAGCAUUUCCUGCAGCCUGUGGCAGUCAUUGCUAGGCUCAGACACAGCUUUGUCAUGUUUUCAGCCCAAUUCUCUGUAAGUAUGCAAGCCAUCACUGGCAUCCUGGUUGUUAGUUAUCUAUUGGAAAUAAAAUAGUGUGGUCAGAUUGGCUUAUCUGGAUU